UCCCGGUUAACCCGGGCAGUCUCAUUAGAGUUCCCACCUUAAAUGUUGGCAACUAAUGAUAAGGGUUGCGCUCGUUGCGGGACUUAACCCAACACCUCACGGCACGAGCUGACGACAGCCAUGCAGCACCUGUUCAGAGGCCCCGAAGGGAGAUUUCAUCUCUGAAACUGUCCUCUGAAUGUCAAGCCUGGGUAAGGUUUUUCGCGUUGCAUCGAAUUAAACCACAUGCUCCACUGCUUGUGCGGGUCCCCGUCAAUUCUUUUGAGUUUCAGCCUUGCGACUGUACUCCCCAGGCGGUAUACUUAACACGUUAGCUACGGCACAACCGGGGUUGAUUCCAGUUACACCAAGUAUACAUCGUUUACGGUAAGGACUAC
rnacentral:misc_RNA from 1 species